GCAAUGUAUGACAUACAGUAAAGCCAUGUCUUCCUUUUGACCCAGAGCGGGGGUUGAUGGCCAAUGACCUGGAGCAAAGUAGGAGUGGCCAGCACUCUGCAGUAGAGUCGGUGACCUGCAGGUCAGAACCGGUGGAGCCCAAUCAGACCAGAUGUCUGUACAACAUCAUCAACCUUCCAAAUCAUCACUGGCUGGAGCUGUGCGCUCACUUGUUUUCACACAGUGUAUUGACUGCCACAAAUAAAGAAAAAAAACAUUCUGGCU